UCAAGCGAACAAGGGCGCAGGGCGAAUGCCUUGGCACUGGGAGCCGAUGAAAGACGUGAUAAGCUGCGAUAAGCUUCGGGGAGCUGCAAAUAAGCAUUGAUCCGGAGAUUUCUGAAUGAGGAAACUCACCUGGGUUCAUACUCAGGUACGUUAUACUGAACUUAAAAAUAGGUAUAUCGAGGGAACCGCCUGAACUGAAACAUCUAAGUAGGGCGAGGAAGAGACAUCAAACGAGAUUCCGUAAGUAGUGGCGAGCGAACGCGGAAGAGGGCAAACCGGAAGUAGAAAUACUUCCGGGGUACGGACUGCUUUUAGGACUUAAUCUGUUAACCGAACGGCAUGGGAAGGCCGGUCAGAGAGUGUGAGAACCACGUAGGUGAAAACGGAGAGAGCUGCGCAGGAUCCAGAGUACGGCCAGACACGUGAAACCUGGUCGGAAUACGGGGGGACCACCCUCCAACCCUAAAUACUACCCAGUGACCGAUAGCGUAUAGUACUGUGAAGGAAAGGUGAAAAGCACCCCGGGAGGGGAGUGAAAAAGAACCUGAAACCCUGUGCCUACAAGCACCUAGAGCACGUCAAUGUGUGAUAGGGUACUUUUUGUAGAACGGUCCGGCGAGCGAUUGUAUGCAGCAAGGUUAAGGACUUAAGGUCUGGAGCCGAAGCGAAAGCGAGUUUGAAAAGGGCGUUAAGUUGCAUACAAUGGGCCCGAAACCGGGUGACCUACCCAUGGUCAGGUUGAAGUGGAAGUAAAAUUCCAUGGAGGACCGAACCGACCUCCGUUGAAAAGGCGGCGGAUGAACUGUGGGUAGCGGAGAAAUUCCAAUCGAACCCGGAGAUAGCUGGUUCUCCCCGAAAUAGUUUUAGGACUAGCCUCAAGUUAGAUACCUGGAGGUAAAGCACUGAAUAGCCUAGCGGCCGAGAGGUUAGCGAAGCUUAUCAAACUCAGAAUGCCAGAGUAUUGAUGCUUGGGAGUCAGACAGUGUCAGAUAAAUGUCAUUGUCAAAAGGGAAACAGCCCAGAUCUACAGCUAAGGUCCCAAAGUCAGGUUAAGUGGAAAACGAUGUGAAGAUACGCAGACAACCAGGAUGUUGGCUCAGAAGCAGCCACUCAUUCAAAGAGUGCGUAAUAGCUCACUGGUCGAGCGUCUUUGCGCGGAGAAUUUAACGGGGCUAAACCUGACACCGAAGCUUAGGCAAUACAGCAAUGUAUUGGGUAGGGGAGCGUUGUAUACGCGGUGAAACAGUAGCGCAAGCGGCUGUGGAGUGUAUAGAAGUGAGAAUGCCGGAAUGAGUAGCGCGAAUGCAGUGAGAAUCUGCAUGGCCGAAAGCCUCAGGUUUCUGGAGGAAGGUUCGUCCGCUCCAGGUUAGUCGGGAGCUAAGGUGAGGCCUAACGGCGUAGCCGAUGCACAGACGGUAGAGAUUCCGUCACCACCAAAAGAGUUAAACACAGGGACACAUUUGAAGUCUCGGAGCCGGGUGUUGGUUCCGGUAGCGAUCGAGGGAAGUUAGUACCGAAGUCCGGGAUGGAAGAUGGCGAGAAAAGCUGUGUGUAUUUCUGCGGUGCCCGUACCGCAAACCGACACAGGUAGGUAGGAAGAAGAUUCUAAGGCCAACGGGAGAAGGGUUGUUAAGGAACUCGGCAAAUUGACCCCGUAACUUCGGGAGAAGGGGUGCUCCAGAGAUGGAGCCGCAGAGAAUCGGCCCAAGCAACUGUUUACCAAAAACACAGGUUUGUGCUAAAUCGAAAGAUGACGUAUACGAGCUGACGCCUGCCCGGUGCUGGAAGGUUAAGAGGAGAUGUGCAAGCAUUGAAUCGAAGCCCCAGUGAACGGCGGCCGUAACUAUAACGGUCCUAAGGUAGCGAAAUUCCUUGUCAGGUAAG
rnacentral:rRNA from 1 species